AACGAACGCUGGCGGCGUGCCUAACACAUGCAAGUCGAACGAGAAUCCGGGCUUCGGUCCGGUAGUAAAGUGGCGCACGGGUGAGUAACACGUGGGUAACGUGCCUCAUAGUGGGGGAUAACCAGGUGAAAGCUUGGCUAAUACCGCAUGAGUCCGUCGGGACGCCGGUCCUGACGGGGGAAAGUGGAGCAAUCCACGCUAUGAGAUCGGCCCCGCGGCCCCAUUAGCUAGUUGCGGGUAACGGCCCACCAAGGCGACGAUGGGUAGCUGGUCUGAGAGGAUGAUCAGCCACACUGGAACUGAGACACGGUCCAGACUCCUACGGGAGGCAGCAGUGGGGAAUUUUCCACAAUGGGCGAAAGCCUGAUGGAG
rnacentral:rRNA from 1 species